rnacentral:rRNA from 1 species
UUUAAUUGAAGAGUUUGAUCAUGGCUCAGAUUGAACGCUGGCGGCAGGCCUAACACAUGCAAGUCGAGCGGCAGCACAGAGGAACUUGUUCCUUGGGUGGCGAGCGGCGGACGGGUGAGUAAUGCCUGGGAAAUUGCCCGGUAGAGGGGGAUAACCAUUGGAAACGAUGGCUAAUACCGCAUAACCUCGCAAGAGCAAAGCA